UUCAGUGCUGUGAUACUCUCUAAAACCAGACUGAAAUUCCUCAAACAGAUCAUUAGUGUUUAGAUGCUCACAUACUUGGAUGGCCACUAUUUUCUCCAGGACUUUGUAUAACAAUGGAAGGUUAGAUAUUGGUCUAUAAUUCAUUGGGUCAUCUGGAUCCAGAGGCUUCUUAAGUAAAGGUUUGAUUGCAUCAACCUUAACAUCCAUUUGCUAAGGAUAGAUUGAUUAUAUCUAAAAUGGGAGAAAUCUGUUGAAUAAUAUUGGCAACUUCAUAACAUGAAUUCAUGAAAAUCAGGUCUAAAAUACAUGGGAGUGGGUCUAUGAUUCUGGGCGAUGGCAUGUUUCCUUCUACGAGAGCCCAUGAGGACAAAAUGUGUUUACAAACUUGUGGUGUCUGAGGUGCUUGUCAUUUAGCUGGAGGUUGUGCUACCAGGGACUUUUGACCCUAAUGGCCACCCGUUAGUAAGGUCUUACUCUAACACAAAAAUAUUGCUUGCCUGCAAUGAUUUAGGUAAGUACUGCCCCCGUCACCAGGGAAAAUAUACACCGUCACUUUAAGGAUUCAACUCAUACGAUCCUGCAGGAACAGAAAACAACACAAUGCAUCGGACCACAGAAGUUUUAGCCUUCACAGAGCUUCACACAAAUACAAGCUCCAACAACUUAACCUGACCUUCCCAGCAGGAGCUACACUUUACUCAACAGGCUGCUGAAUUUACUGCUCUGGAAAGUCAGGGUUUAGCCAUGGCUUAUGCAGACCCUGCAGUCCAGCGGUGUGUGAGAUGAGACAGAACGAACGAUUUGCCACCAUAAAACAGGUCAAGCUCUUGGACCUAUGUGAUGACAGGCAUAUCUGCUGACGGAAAACUAACCAGCCAGCGGUCCAACACUCGAUGGUAAACAGCACACACUCAAUCACACCGCUAAUGCUGGGUUGGAAUGAAGGGUCUCUGUGAAGAACUUCUCGUCUACACGCAGGUCCGGAUCAUCCCUGGAGUCCUUGUUUAGCUGGAGUGGACGGAUAACUGACUCUAGGACAGAUGGGGAGCUUAAGAGUCAGUUAUUAAUCACCAUUUCAUCCAGCUCCAACAUUUAUUGUCAUUUCUUCAACGUUCUGGUGUAGCCUUGAUCAAAACUUAAUUAGUGCCUUUGCAAUAAUUAUUGAAAGUGUUUUGAGUCAUGCAGCACAUUUGCGGUUUCCUUUGAGUGUUUUGGUUCAGUAUUAAUGGGAGCUGCAGUACGAGCCUUUUCAUUUUGCACGACGCAAACGCAACACGUUAUUAACUUUGAAUCAGAGGAGCUCACUGGGAGCACAGGAGAGAAAUCGUAGGAGCAGGAUGAUUAAAACUGGCAGGACUUAAACAAAAAACAAGGCAGAGCACUCUGAAAAAAUUAGACGCUGCUAAUUUCUGAAGCACUUUCACCUUCAUCUGACUAACCUGAUAAAGGAGGAAAUGACUGUCUGGUGGGGAAAUUUGUACUUUAUACAAGGAAGAGAACAUCCGCCAUUAAACCAAACACAAGGAAAUCACGUUUGAUAUCGCUGUUUGAUGUCAUAUAUGAUGAUGUUCCUCUCCACUGCCAGGAUUGCAGCCAGGAAAAACACUGCUGCACUUCUGGAACGGUGCUGGGAGUAAACAAGCCGUUAGGUCACACGUAUUGGCGUAAUCUACAUAGCUAUGAAGUGGCAUUGCUGCAACCAUCUUUUAUUUUGAAAAUUCCGGGGGGGUUUUACUGAAACUGUAGGAUUUCCUGUCUAGCUUUAUGUUAUCUGUGGAAAUUGUCAUGUCCCAGAAGCGGCUUGAGGCAAAAACAGAACCCAAUCCCAUCUAUAGCGGUGGGGCGCAGCAAGGUGCUUCUGUGACCCACCUGAAAACGUUCCAGACGCGGCUGGUUUGAAUCGCUCCCACACACUAUAACAGAUUCUAUUUGAAGCAGAGACGUGCCACUAAUGCUUCCGGUGUGUAGGGGCUACUCAUUAAGAUUCAAGAUAUGCAAACAUCUUGCCUCUGAUUGGCCUAAAAAGUAGGCUGUAUGAUGUCUUUAGCUUCAGUCUGUCUUUAAAGGGACAAUGUGUAGUUGAUAUCAUUCAUCUCUGGAAAUUUCCAUCAAAAUGUUGCUGAAAAUGAAUUAAUAUAAAAACAUUUGGCCCGGGACAGUCAAAAUAAAAAUACUGACGGCUUCUUAACAUAUAACCAUAAAAAUCCAUUCUAAAAUACAAGGAGCGGGUCUAAGGGUGUGUCCAAAUCCACGGGAUGGAUGCUUGUAAGAGGGCAUUUUGAGGUUGAUGACGUCACAGCGCAGUGACGAGUACUGUCUGAAUUCCAAGAAUACUCAUUCUCGUGUCCUCAAAUGCGGCCUUGCUCCGCCCACAUUACGAGGACGGGUCUGUUGUAUCCUCACAGAACAAGGCUAUCCCAGCAUGCUUUGUGUGCCGGCUGUGGAUUUUCAACAGGAAGAGAAAAUGGGGAGAGCUACGAAGUUUUAAACGUAAGUUUGUUAAAAACUAGCUGUAGAAACCUAAAAAGCUUAAAGUGGUUCUGUUUAUAGACAUUUUUCGUUUGUAUAUUUGUUUUUUAAAUUACAUUUUAGGCAGAAAUCAGCCAGAACGAGUUUGUAUCGCGGGUUCCAGUUAUUCCUGUUUGUGUGUGUGUGUGUGUGUGUGUGUGUGCGUGCGUGCGUGUGUGUGUGUGUGUGUGUGUGUGUGUGGCGAAUUAAACUUGUCAUUUGUUUUAAGGUCAGCGGAGCAAAGAAGUGUUUUUAAUAAGCUUAGAGGUGAAGACUGAAGCUGUUUACACACAACCACAGAAGGUCUUCUGUAAAAAGUAGUUUUACAUUCAGGGAUUUACACAGCUGACACGUUAUAAUGAAGCAAAAAGUGUUUUUGUGAACAAUAUAAUUUUUAUCUUCUCAUGUGGAUAAAUGUAAAAAUGUGUUUAUUGCCUUUUUGUCACCUGCGGUCUCUGAUUUUCUCUGUAGGACUGCAGGUGUCCAGGGUCAGGAGAGGCUUUACCUGGUGGUCCUCCUGGGAGAGAGGCCUUCUACUGUCAUCAUGUUAAUGUUAAUUAGCUGUUUGAUAUUUUAGCACAUUUAUAAAAACAAAUACUAAAUGAUAACUCUUUCUGGUCAUUGAUUUUAUCACCAGUUUUAUUAUUACAGAUGUUUUUGAACAUGUUACAUGAACAGAGCGUGAAAAGAUGGUAAGGAGAAGAGAUUAUUUAUAAUACGUUACACUUAUUUACAGAUCAAAACCAGUAUGGACCAGUUAUGUUCGGUUAAAGCAGGAUUAACCUGAGUGACUCUUCCUGGAUCAUUUAUUCAAACUGAGUGAGCAGGAAGUCUUUAUCAGUGCAGCUGGAUCUGCUGCAGGAGGAUCCAGACGUGGAUGGAGGGCUGGAGCAAACCCGUGGCUGGACGUUUCUGGUCAGAGGAACAUCAUACAGGACGGUCAGCAGAGAGAGCUUUGGGACGCUUCCUCUCACUGUCCACUCCAUCGUCCAUCUACAGGGACUGCUGGGCUGGCUCAGACGACGGCUGUUACAUCUCUAAGAUGUAUUCAGAAAUAUGAAUAGAGGAGAUGGUUUAUGGAUCCACUGGUAUAACAAUUGUGACUCUUCAGCAAAUAAAACCACAGUGUUGUUUUUAAUAAAGGUUCUACAUAAAUGA